rnacentral:lncRNA from 1 species
CACUAAUUGCUCAUCUGUACCAUGGAGGAGCAACACGGAGCUCUGAUCCAUCCUCUCCAGCAGCACCUGACAGACCAGCAGGACCAGGACUGGGAAGAGUAGAGGGACCACAGUAUUUACAGAGGCCCUGGGGGCUGUGACCAGCACCGUGGAGGUUGGUUUGCUAAGCGAAUACUGAGCUGAUGGAAAAUGUCCUUGUCCCAGGAAUUUGCAAUCCAAAUGAAAUGAAGAUUUCAUACUGGAGCCUCCUUUUGCAGAGAGAGGAUUGUCCAGAGAUGUUCACUCGUCACUCAAAUGGUUCUACAGGAAAAAAUAGCCAGACCAUGCUCUGAAACUUUCCUCUCUGAGUAUUCAAGUGCUCCAUUAUUUCUGGGAACAUGUAGAACACCAGACACUGAAUAAACAUGAUUAUGU